AACUAUAUUAGAGGUUGCAGAUACGAAGAAUGAUAAUCGAGUGGUGGAUACGAUGACAUUAUCAGGCGGCGUAGAUGCCGAAAGUCACAUUUCACCACAGAAAUUUGUCUUGGGGCGUUGGGUUAAAUCCCGCGAACUGUCUCUUGUCUAUCCAGACAAGAGGUGAGCUAAUCAAAUG
rnacentral:ncRNA from 2 species